AUUGAACGCUGGCGGCAUGCUUUACACAUGCAAGUCGAACGGUAACAGGGAGCUUGCUCCGCUGACGAGUGGCGAACGGGUGAGUAAUGCGUCGGAACGUGCCGAGUAGUGGGGGAUAACGCAUCGAAAGGUGUGCUAAUACCGCAUACGGACUGAGGUAGAAAGUGGGGGACCUUCGGGCCUCACGCCAUUCGAGCGGCCGACGUCUGAUUAGCUAGUUGGUGAGGUAAAGGCUCACCAAGGCGACGAUCAGUAGCGGGUCUGAGAGGAUGAUCCGCCACACUGGGACUGAGACACGGCCCAGACUCCUACGGGAGGCAGCAGUGGGGAAUUUUGGACAAUGGGCGCAAGCCUGAUCCAGCCAUGCCGCGUGUCUGAAGAAGGCCUUCGGGUUGUAAAGGACUUUUGUCCGGGAGCAAAUGCCUGGUGUUAAUAGCAUCGGGAGCUGAGAGUACCGGAAGAAUAAGCACCGGCUAACUACGUGCCAGCCGCCGCCGUAAUAC
rnacentral:rRNA from 1 species